rnacentral:hammerhead_ribozyme from 1 species
AUCCAUCUGAUGAGUCCCAAAUAGGACAAAACGCGCGUACACUGGAU